UCCAGACUCCUACGGGAGGCAGCAGUGGGGAAUAUUGCACAAUGGGGGAAACCCUGAUGCAGCGACGCCGCGUGAGUGAAGAAGUAUUUCGGUAUGUAAAGCUCUAUCAGCAGGGAAGAAAAUGACGGUACCUGACUAAGAAGCCCCGGCUAACUACGUGCCAGCAGCCGCGGUAAUACGUAGGGGGCAAGCGUUAUCCGGAUUUACUGGGUGUAAAGGGGGCGCAGACGGCGAUGCAAGCCAGGAGUGAAAGCCCGGGGCCCAACCCCGGGACUGCUCUUGGAACUGUCAGGCUGGAGUGCCGGAGGGGUAAGCGGAAUUCCUGGUGUAGCGGUGAAAUGCGUAGAUAUCAGGAGGAACACCGGCGGCGAAGGCGGCUUACUGGACGGCAACUGACGUUGAGGCCCGAAAGCGUGGGGAGCGAACAGGAUUAGAUACCCCAGUAC
rnacentral:rRNA from 1 species